rnacentral:rRNA from 1 species
UACGGAGGGUGCAAGCGUUAUCCGGAUUCACUGGGUUUAAAGGGUGCGUAGGCGGGCAGGUAAGUCAGUGGUGAAAUCUCCGAGCUUAACUCGGAAACUGCCAUUGAUACUAUUUGUCUUGAAUAUUGUGGAGGUAAGCGGAAUAUGUCAUGUAGCGGUGAAAUGCUUAGAUAUGACAUAGAACACCAAUUGCGAAGGCAGCUUACUACACAAUGAUUGACGCUGAGGUGCGAAAGCGUGGGGAGCAAACAGG